GGAGAUAAGACAACCACCUGGGUCAGGAACUUGUAGAGAGGAUUCCUACAUGGAGUGGGAGACUGAAAUAAUAACCUCAAAGAUGCCUUCCAAUCAGAAGAUUUGGUGAUUCUUUCUGAGUUAUCAAACUGCCUUCCUUUGACCUUGCUCACAUGUAGAAAUCCAAGUCAGCGCAGCUUAACUUGGACUCACCACCUAUCAAGUGCUCGACAGCCACGUGUGCAGUGGUUCCUACGUGGAGCAGCAUACAUCCAGAGAUGCAAAUAUUAAUGAGGACAGUGCUAGUAACAGAGUUGCUGAGCAAUCUAUGUCCCCUUGUAAGAACCAGUGCCCCAGGGGAAGAAACAGAACUCCACAAGGUAGCAGUGUGGGUGUAGUACCCGCAUGUGCCCAUGUUAUGGGAAUGUAGAUGGGGAGUGACCACCGCCAACAGAAGUGUGGCCAUCUUGCCCGAGAUGCCUGAGGACCUCCUAUUUUUAGAUGCUGCUGCCCAAGGCCUGUAUUUCAUGCUAUGGCUUUUGUCAUUUGAAUUAUCAGUAGCUGUCUCGGAGCUAUUACGCUUCACUGGGCCCUGGAGGAUAUUGUCUUAUACAGUCCACUGGGUUUUGGAUAUGCAGUCUGUGCCUUUCAUUGCCUUCCUGGAAAAUAAUAACUAAACUCUUCCUCACCA
rnacentral:lncRNA from 1 species